UAGGGAAUCUUCGGCAAUGGACGGUAGUCUGACCGAGCAACGCCGCGUGAGUGAAGAAGGUUUUCGGAUCGUAAAGCUCUGUUGUAAGAGAAGAACGAGUGUGAGAGUGGAAAGUUCACACUGUGACGGUAUCUUACCAGAAAGGGACGGCUAACUACGUGCCAGCAGCCGCGGUAAUACGUAGGUCCCGAGCGUUGUCCGGAUUUAUUGGGCGUAAAGCGAGCGCAGGCGGUUAGAUAAGUCUGAAGUUAAAGGCUGUGGCUUAACCAUAGUAGGCUUUGGAAACUGUUUAACUUGAGUGCAAGAGGGGAGAGUGGAAUUCCAUGUGUAGCGGUGAAAUGCGUAGAUAUAUGGAGGAACACCGGUGGCGAAAGCGGCUCUCUGGCUUGUAACUGACGCUGAGGCUCGAAAGCGUGGGGAGCAAACAGGAUUAGAUACCCUGGUAGUCCACGCUGUAAACGAUGAGUGCUAGGUGUUAGACCCUUUCCGGGGUUUAGUGCCGUAGCUAACGCAUUAAGCACUCCGCCUGGGGAGUACGACCGCAAGGUUG
rnacentral:rRNA from 1 species